GGGGCUGAUUUUGGUUUUGACAGCAAGUUGAACUGGUGAGUAAGCAUGCCGGGCAACGCACUUUAUCCCGUAAUCCUGUGGUGCAACAAAUUUAGUUGGCGAAUCUAAUUACGCGCUUGCAGCUUAAUCGAAGUAUAGUAGAUUAGCUCCCGAUAGCUAUCGGGAUUCCCGAUAUUAGAUAUUGGGACAAGCUGUUCCACCAAAACCUUUCCCUUCGGUUUUGGAGCCUGGGGCACACGUGAGUCGGGGAUAGUAUAGCAAACUCCCUUAAUGCUGUGCGAAAUUUAAAGGGAUAAGUCUGAAUUCGGCUGUCUGUUGCUAGGUUCAGGUUGAAAACCAAUAACAGAAUAAGCAUGUAGAAAGCUUAUGGGUUGCUUGUUUGGACCCGGGUUCGACUCCCGGCAGCUCCACAA
rnacentral:tmRNA from 1 species